rnacentral:rRNA from 1 species
UUGAUGGAUUUUUGCAGAAUUCCCCCUUUUUCCGGUUGAUCCUGCCGGAAGCUACUGCUAUUGGAAUUCGACUAAGCCAUGCGAGUCAAGGUGUCUUCGGACGCCGGCAUACGGCUCAGUAACACGUAGGUAACCUACCCUCAGGGCUGAGAUAACCCCGGGAAACUGGGGCUAAUAUUAGAUAGAUAAAAGAUACUGGAAUGUUCUUUUAUCCAAAGCUUUUGCGCCUGAGGAUGGGCCUGCGCCCGAUUAGGUUGUUGGUGGGGUAAUGGCCCACCAAGCCUACGAUCGGUACGGGCAGUGGGAGCUGAAGCCCGGAGUUGGGGACUGAGACAAGGCCCCAGGCCCUACGGGGCGCAGCAGGCGCGAAACCUCUGCAAUGCGGGAAACCGUGACAGGGGGAUUCCAAGUGCUCAUGCAUUGCAUGGGCUGUUCUUUGGUCUAAGUAACCAGAGGAGUAAGGGCUGGGCAAGACCGGUGCCAGCCGCCGCGGUAAUACCGGCAGCUCAAGUGGUAGCCGCGAUUAUUGGGCCUAAAACGUUCGUAGCCGGAUAAGUAAGUCUUUGGUUAAAUCCUGCGACUUAACCGUGGGAAAUCUAGAGAUACUGCUUGUCUUGAGACCGGGAGAGGUUGGAGGUACUCCCAGGGUAGGGGUGAAAUCCUGUAAUCCUGGGGGGACCACCUGUGGCGAAGGCGUCCAACUGGAACGGGUCUGACGGUGAGGGACGAAACCUAGGGGAGCGAGCCGGAUUAGAUACCCGGGUAGUCCUAGGCGUAAAUGAUGCGAGUUAAGUGUGGGGGCAUCCACGAGAUGGCCCUGUGCUGUAGGGUAGCCGUUAAACUCGCUGCCUGGGGAGUACGGUCGCAAGGCUGAAACUUAAAGGAAUUGGCGGGGGAGCACCGCAAGAGGUGGAGGCUGCGGUUCAAUUGGAUUCAACGCCGGA